rnacentral:lncRNA from 1 species
AAACUGUCAGGCCACUUUAAGCCACAGUACGGAAGAAGCUGUGCAGCCUGUGAGCCCCGUCCAAGGACGUUAAAAGAAGAAGUCAGGCCCAAAAGCCACGGUUUGAGCAAACCGUGCUGCCUGUAGCUCCGUCGUGGGGACGUAAAACCUGGGAGGCUGCAAACUGUGGAAGCUGUACGCACGGUGUAGCAGACUAGCGGUUAGAGGAGACCCCUCCCAUGACACAACGCAGCAGCGGGGCCCGAGCACUGAGGGAAGCUGUACCUCCUUGCAAAGGACUAGAGGUUAGAGGAGACCCCCCGCAAACAAAAAC